AGUGAACGCUGGCGGCAGGCCUAACACAUGCAAGUCGAACGAACGCACCGUGAGUGUUUGCUCUUACGGGUGGCGCGUGGCGGACGGGUGAGGAAUACAUCGGAUUCUUCUUUUACGUGGGUGAUAACGUCGAACGAGUUCUUCUACUACAGCAUACGUCGUACGGGUGGCAGCCGGGGUUAUUUGGGCCUUUUGCGUUAGGUAGAGACGCAGUCGGAUUAGCUAGUUGGGGGGGUAAGGGCGCACCAAGGCGACGAUCCGUAGCUGGCCUGAGAGGAUGAUCAGCCACACUGGAACUGAGACACGGUCCAGACUCCUACGGGAGGCAGCAGUCGGGAAUAUUGGGCGAUGGGCGCAAGCCUGAUCCAGCCAUACCGCGUGAGUGAUGAAGGCCUUCGGGUUGGAAAACCCUGUUGUUGGUAAAGAAAAACAGUAGUUUAAUACGCGGCGGUACUGACGGUACCCAAAGAAGAAGCACCGGCUAACUUCGUG
rnacentral:rRNA from 1 species